rnacentral:rRNA from 1 species
GACGAACGCUGGCGGCGUGCUUAACACAUGCAAGUCGAACGGAAAGGCCCAACUUUGCUUGGGUACUCGAGUGGCGAACGGGUGAGUAACACGUGGGUUAUCUGCCCUUCACUUCGGGAUAACUCUGGGAAACUGGGUCUAAUACCGGAUAGGACCACUUCUUGGAUGUUGUGGUUGAGAGUUUUUUGGGUGGGGGAUGAGCUCGCGGCCUAUCAGCGUGUUGGUGGGGUAAUGGUCUACCAAGGCGUCGACGGGGGGCCGGCCCGAGAGGGUGUCCGGCCACAUUGGGACUGAGAUACGGCCCAGACCCCUACGGGAGGCAGCAGGGGGGAAUAUGGCACAAGGGGCGGAAGCCUGAUGAAGCAAGGCGGCGUGGGGGAUGACGGCCUUCGGGUUGUAAACCCCUUUCGCAGGGGACGAAGCGUGUGGGACGGGAACGUGGAAAGAAGCACCGGCCAACUACGUU